CGGCCCGCCCAUAGCUCCUUCGACGGCGCCGCCUAGGAACGCGGAGAAAAUAUGACAAAGGAACGGCCAAAAAUAAAAAGAAAGACCUUUCUUUUGAAAAAACAAACAAAAAAAGGAAUGCAACACGAGGACUUCCCAGGAGGUCACCCAUCCUAGUACUACUCUCGCCCAAGCACGCUUAACUUCAAAGUUCUGAUGGGAUCCGGUGCUUUAGUGCUGGUAUGAUCGCAUCCGACAUACCGUGCGUUCUCCUCCCCUUUAUGCCCGCGCCUCCGUGUACGGCCCGCCCAUAGCUCCUUCGACGGCGCCGCCUAGGAACGCGGAGAAAAUAUGACAAAGGAACGGCCAAAAAUAAAAAGAAAGACCUUUCUUUUGAAAAAACAAACAAAAAAAGGAAUGCAACACGAGGACUUCCCAGGAGGUCACCCAUCCUAGUACUACUGUCGCCCAAGCACGCUUAAGUUCGGAGUUCUGAUGGGAUCCGGUGCUUUAGUGCUGGUAUGAUCGCAUCCGACAUGCCGUGCGUUCUCCUCCCCUUUAUGCCCGCGCCUCCGUGUACGGCCCGCCCAUAGCUCCUUCGUCGGCGCCGCCUAGGAACGCGGAGAAAAUAUGACAAAGGAACGGCCAAAAAUAAAAAGAAAGACCUUUCUUUUGAAAAAACAAACGCCUCCGUGUACGGCCCGCCCAUAGCUCCUUCGACGGCGCCGCCUAGGAACGCGGAGAAAAUAUGACAAAGGAACGGCCAAAAAUAAAAAGAAAGACCUUUCUUUUGAAAAAACAAACAAAAAAAAGGAAUGCAACACGAGGACUUCCCAGGAGGUCACCCAUCCUAGUACUACUCUCGCCCAAGCACGCUUAACUUCGGAGUUCUGAUGGGAUCCGGUGCUUUAGUGCUGGUAUGAUCGCAUCCGACAUACCGUGCGUUCUCCUCCCCUUUAUGCCCGCCCCUCCGUGUACGGCCCGCCCAUAGCUCUUUCGACGGCGCCGCCUAGGAACGCGGAGAAAAUAUGACAAAGGAACGGCCAAAAAUAAAAAGAAAGACCUUUCUUUUGAAAAAACAAACGCCUCCGUGUACGGCCCGCCCAUAGCUCCUUCGACGGCGCCGCCUAGGAACGCGGAGAAAAUAUGACAAAGGAACGGCCAAAAAUAAAAAGAAAGACCUUUCUUUUGAAAAAACAAACAAAAAAAAGGAAUGCAACACGAGGACUUCCCAGGAGGUCACCCAUCCUAGUACUACUCUCGCCCAAGCACGCUUAACUUCGGAGUUCUGAUGGGAUCCGGUGCUUUAGUGCUGGUAUGAUCGCAUCCGACAUACCGUGCGUUCUCCUCCCCUUUAUGCCCGCGCCUCCGUGUACGGCCCGCCCAUAGCUCCUUCGACGGCGCCGCCUAGGAACGCGGAGAAAAUAUGACAAAGGAACGGCCAAAAAUAAAAAGAAAGACCUUUCUUUUGAAAAAACAAACAAAAAAAAGGAAUGCAACACGAGGACUUCCCAGGAGGUCACCCAUCCUAGUACUACUCUCGCCCAAGCACGCUUAACUUCGGAGUUCUGAUGGGAUCCGGUGCUUUAGUGCUGGUAUGAUCGCAUCCGACAUACCGUGCGUUCUCCUCCCCUUUAUGCCCGCGCCUCCGUGUACGGCCCGCCCAUAGCUCCUUCGACGGCGCCGCCUAGGAACGCGGAGAAAAUAUGACAAAGGAACGGGCAAAAAUAAAAAGAAAGACCUUUCUUUUGAAAAAACAAACAAAAAAAAGGAAUGCAACACGAGGACUUCCCAGGAGGUCACCCAUCCUAGUACUACUCUCGCCCAAGCACGCUUAACUUCGGAGUUCUGAUGGGAUCCGGUGCUUUAGUGCUGGUAUGAUCGCAUCCGACAUACCGUGCGUUCUCCUCCCCUUUAUGCCCGCGCCUCCGUGUACGGGCCGUCCAUAGCUCCUUCGACGGCGCCGCCUAUGAACGCGGAGAAAAUAUGACAAAGGAACGGCCAACAAUCAUACGAAAGACCUUUCUUUUGAAAAAACAAACAAAAAAAAGGAAUGCGACACGAGGACUUCCCAGGAGGUCACCCAUCCUAGUACUACUCUCGCCCAAGCACGCUUAACUUCGGAGUUCUGAUGGGAUCCGGUGCUUUAGUGCUAGUAUGAUCGCAUUCGACAUACCGUGCGUUCUCCUCCCCUUUAUGCCCGCGCCUCCGUGUACGGCCCGCCCAUAGCUCCUUCGACGGCGCCGCCUAGGAACGCGGAGAAAAUAUGACAAAGGAACGGCCAAAAAUAAAAAGAAAGACCUUUCUUUUGAAAAAACAAACAAAUAAAAGGAAUGCAACACGAGGACUUCCCAGGAGGUCACCCAUCCUAGUACUACUCUCGCCCAAGCACGCUUAACUUCGGAGUUCUGAUGGGAUCCGGUGCUUUAGUGCUGGUAUGAUCGCAUCCGACAUACCGUGCGUUCUCCUCCCCUUUAUGCCCGCGCCUCCGUGUACGGCCCGCCCAUAGCUCCUUCGACGGCGCCGCCUAGGAACGCGGAGAAAAUAUGACAAAGGAACGGCCAAAAAUAAAAAGAAAGACCUUUCUUUUGAAAAAACAAACGCCUCCGUGUACGGCCCGCCCAUAGCUCCUUCGACGGCGCCGCCUAGGAACGCGGAGAAAAUAUGACAAAGGAACGGCCAAAAAUAAAAAGAAAGACCUUUCUUUUGAAAAAACAAACAAAAAAAAGGAAUGCAACACGAGGACUUCCCAGGAGGUCACCCAUCCUAGUACUACUCUCGCCCAAGCACGCUUAACUUCGGAGUUCUGAUGGGAUCCGGUGCUUUAGUGCUGGUAUGAUCGCAUCCGACAUACCGUGCGUUCUCCUCCCCUUUAUGCCCGCGCCUCCGUGUACGGCCCGCCCAUAGCUCCUUCGACGGCGCCGCCUAGGAACGCGGAGAAAAUAUGACAAAGGAACGGCCAAAAAUAAAAAGAAAGACCUUUCUUUUGAAAAAACAAACAAAUAAAAGGAAUGCAACACGAGGACUUCCCAGGAGGUCACCCAUCCUAGUACUACUCUCGCCCAAGCACGCUUAACUUCGGAGUUCUGAUGGGAUCCGGUGCUUUAGUGCUGGUAUGAUCGCAUCCGACAUACCGUGCGUUCUCCUCCCCUUUAUGCCCGCGCCUCCGUGUACGGCCCGCCCAUAGCUCCUUCGACGGCGCCGCCUAGGAACGCGGAGAAAAUAUGACAAAGGAACGGCCAAAAAUAAAAAGAAAGACCUUUCUUUUGAAAAAACAAACAAAUAAAAGGAAUGCAACACGAGGACUUCCCAGGAGGUCACCCAUCCUAGUACUACUCUCGCCCAAGCACGCUUAACUUCGGAGUUCUGAUGGGAUCCGGUGCUUUAGUGCUGGUAUGAUCGCAUCCGACAUACCGUGCGUUCUCCUCCCCUUUAUGCCCGCGCCUCCGUGUACGGCCCGCCCAUAGCUCCUUCGACGGCGCCGCCUUGGAACGCGGAGAAAAUAUGACAAAGGAACGGCCAAAAAUAAAAAGAAAGACCUUUCUUUUGAAAAAACAAACAAAUAAAAGGAAUGCAACACGAGGACUUCCCAGGAGGUCACCCAUCCUAGUACUACUCUCGCCCAAGCACGCUUAACUUCGGAGUUCUGAUGGGAUCCGGUGCUUUAGUGCUGGUAUGAUCGCAUCCGACAUACCGUGCGUUCUCCUCCCCUUUAUGCCCGCGCCUCCGUGUACGGCCCGCCCAUAGCUCCUUCGACGGCGCCGCCUAGGAACGCGGAGAAAAUAUGACAAAGGAACGGCCAAAAAUAAAAAGAAAGACCUUUCUUUUGAAAAAACAAACAAAUAAAAGGAAUGCAACACGAGGACUUCCCAGGAGGUCACCCAUCCUAGUACUACUCUCGCCCAAGCACGCUUAACUUCGGAGUUCUGAUGGGAUCCGGUGCUUUAGUGCUGGUAUGAUCGCAUUCGACAUACCGUGCGUUCUCCUCCCCUUUAUGCCCGCGCCUCCGUGUACGGGCCGCCCAUAGCUCCUUCGACGGCGCCGCCUAGGAACGCGGAGAAAAUAUGACAAAGGAACGGCCAAAAAUAAAAAGAAAGACCUGUUCUUUUGAAAAAACAAACUAAAAAAAGGAAUGCAGCACGAGGACUUCCCAGGAGGUCACCCAUCCUAAUACUACUCUCGCCCAAGCACGCUUAACUUCGGAGUUCUGAUGGGAUCCGGAGCUUUAGUGUUGGUAUGAUCGCAUCCGACAUACCGUGCGUUCUCCUCCCCUUUAUGCACCCGCCUCCGUGUACGGCCCGCCCAUAGCUCCUUCGACGGCGCCGCCUAGGAACGCGGAGAAAAUAUGACAAAGGAACGGCCAAAAAUAAAAAGAAAGACCUUUCUUUUGAAAAAACAAACAAAAAAAAGGAAUGCAACACGAGGACUUCCCAGGAGGUCACCCAUCCUAGUACUACUCUCGCCCAAGCACGCUUAACUUCGGAGUUCUGAUGGGAUCCGGUGCUUUAGUGCUGGUAUGAUCGCAUCCGACAUACCGUGCGUUCUCCUCCCCUUUAUGCCCGCGCCUCCGUGUACGGCCCGCCCAUAGCUCCUUCGACGGCGCCGCCUAGGAACGCGGAGAAAAUAUGACAAAGGAACGGCCAAAAAUAAAAAGAAAGACCUUUCUUUUGAAAAAACAAACAAAAAAAAGGAAUGCAACACGAGGACUUCCCAGGAGGUCACCCAUCCUAGUACUACUCUCGCCCAAGCACGCUUAACUUCGGAGUUCUGAUGGGAUCCGGUGCUUUAGUGCUGGUAUGAUCGCAUCCGACAUACCGUGCGUUCUCCUCCCCUUUAUGCCCGCGCCUCCGUGUACGGCCCGCCCAUAGCUCCUUCGACGGCGCCGCCUAGGAACGCGGAGAAAAUAUGACAAAGGAACGGCCAAAAAUAAAAAGAAAGACCUUUCUUUUGAAAAAACAAACAAAUAAAAGGAAUGCAACACGAGGACUUCCCAGGAGGUCACCCAUCCUAGUACUACUCUCGCCCAAGCACGCUUAACUUCGGAGUUCUGAUGGGAUCCGGUGCUUUAGUGCUGGUAUGAUCGCAUCCGACAUACCGUGCGUUCUCCUCCCCUUUAUGCCCGCGCCUCCGUGUACGGCCCGCCCAUAGCUCCUUCGACGGCGCCGCCUAGGAACGCGGAGAAAAUAUGACAAAGGAACGGCCAAAAAUAAAAAGAAAGACCUUUCUUUUGAAAAAACAAACGCCUCCGUGUACGGCCCGCCCAUAGCUCCUUCGACGGCGCCGCCUAGGAACGCGGAGAAAAUAUGACAAAGGAACGGCCAAAAAUAAAAAGAAAGACCUUUCUUUUGAAAAAACAAACAAAAAAAAGGAAUGCAACACGAGGACUUCCCAGGAGGUCACCCAUCCUAGUACUACUCUCGCCCAAGCACGCUUAACUUCGGAGUUCUGAUGGGAUCCGGUGCUUUAGUGCUGGUAUGAUCGCAUCCGACAUACCGAGCGUUCUCCUCCCCUUUAUGCCCGCGCCUCCGUGUACGGCCCGCCCAUAGCUCCUUCGACGGCGCCGCCUAGGAACGCGGAGAAAAUAUGACAAAGGAACGGCCAAAAAUAAAAAGAAAGACCUUUCUUUUGAAAAAACAAACGCCUCCGUGUACGGCCCGCCCAUAGCUCCUUCGACGGCGCCGCCUAGGAACGCGGAGAAAAUAUGACAAAGGAACGGCCAAAAAUAAAAAGAAAGACCUUUCUUUUGAAAAAACAAACAAAAAAAAGGAAUGCAACACGAGGACUUCCCAGGAGGUCACCCAUCCUAGUACUACUCUCGCCCAAGCACGCUUAACUUCGGAGUUCUGAUGGGAUCCGGUGCUUUAGUGCUGGUAUGAUCGCAUCCGACAUACCGUGCGUUCUCCUCCCCUUUAUGCCCGCGCCUCCGUGUACGGCCCGCCCAUAGCUCCUUCGACGGCGCCGCCUAGGAACGCGGAGAAAAUAUGACAAAGGAACGGCCAAAAAUAAAAAGAAAGACCUUUCUUUUGAAAAAACAAACACCUAAAAGGAAUGCAACACGAGGACUUCCCAGGAGGUCACCCGUCAUCGUAGUACUCUCGCCCAAGCACGCUUAGCUUCGGAGUUCUGAUGAGAUCCGGUGCUUUAGUGCUGGUAUGAUCGCAUCCGACAUACCGUGAGUUCUCCUCCCCUUUAUGCCCGUGCCUCCAUGUACCGCCCGCCCAUAGCUCCUUCGACGGGACGCUCCUAGGAACGCGGAGAAAAUAUUACAAAGGAGCGCCCAAAAAUAAAAAGAAAGACCUUUCUUUUGAAAAAACAAACGCCUCCGUGUACGGCCCGCCCAUAGCUCCUUCGACGGCGCCGCCUAGGAACGCGGAGAAAAUAUGACAAAGGAACGGCCAAAAAUAAAAAGAAAGACCUUUCUUUUGAAAAAACAAACAAAAAAAAGGAAUGCAACACGCGGACUUCCCAGGAGGUCACCCAUCCUAGUACUACUCUCGCCCAAGCACGCUUAAGUUCGGAGUUCUGAUGGGAUCCGGUUCUUUAGUGCUGGCAUGCUCGCAUCAGGCAUGCCGCGCGUUCUCCUCCCCGGUAGGCACGCAUCUUAGUGUACGUCUCGCCCAUAGCUCCUUCGUUGGGAGCUCCUAGGAGCUCGGAGAAAAUAUGGCAAAGGAACGGCCAUAAAUAAAAAGAAAGACCUUUCUUCUGAAAAAACAAACGCCUCCGUGUACGGCCCGCCCAUAGCUCCUUCGACGGCGCCGCCUAGGAACGCGGAGAAAAUAUGACAAAGGAACGGCCAAAAAUAAAAAGAAAGACCUUUCUUUUGAAAAAACAAACAAAUAAAAGGAAUGCAACACGAGGACUUCCCAGGAGGUCACCCAUCCUAGUACUACUCUCGCCCAAGCACGCUUAACUUCGGAGUUCUGAUGGGAUCCGGUGCUUUAGUGCUGGUAUGAUCGCAUCCGACAUACCGUGCGUUCUCCUCCCCUUUAUGCCCGCGCCUCCGUGUACGGCCCGCCCAUAGCUCCUUCGACGGCGCCGCCUAGGAACGCGGAGAAGGAGUAUGACAAAGGAACGGCCAAAAAUAAAAAGAAAGACCUUUCUUUUGAAAAAACAAACAAAUAAAAGGAAUGCAACACGAGGACUUCCCAGGAGGUCACCCAUCCUAGUACUACUCUCGCCCAAGCACGCUUAACUUCGGAGUUCUGAUGGGAUCCGGUGCUUUAGUGCUGGUAUGAUCGCAUUCGACAUACCGGGCGUACUCCUCCCCUUUAUGCCCGCGCCUCCGUGUACGGCCCGCCCAUAGCUCCUUCGACGGCGCCGCCUAGGAACGCGGAGAAAAUAUGACAAAGGAACGGCCAAAAAUAAAAAGAAAGACCUUUCUUUUGAAAAAACAAACGAAUCCGAGGAAUGCAAGACGAGGACUUCCCAGGAGGUCACCCAUCCUAGUACUACUCUCGCCCAAGCACGCUUAAGUUCGGAGUUCUGAUGGGAUCCGGUGCUUUAGUGCUGGUAUGAUCGCGUCCGACGUACCGUGCGUUCUCCUCCCCUUGAUGCCCGUGCCUCCGUGUACGGCCCGCCCAUAGCUCCUUCGACGGCGCCGUCNNNNNNNNNNNNNNNNNNNNNNNNNNNNNNNNNNNNNNNNNNNNNNNNNNNNNNNNNNNNNNNNNNNNNNNNNNNNNNNNNNNNNNNNNNNNNNNNNNNNAACACGAGGACUUCCCAAGAGGUCACCCAUCCUAGUACUACUCUCGCCCAAGCACGCUUAACUUCGGAGUUCUGAUGGGAUCCGGUGCUUUAGUGCUGGUAUGAUCGCAUCCGACAUACCGUGCGUUCUCCUCCCCUUU
rnacentral:lncRNA from 1 species